UCCCUGAUGGUCCAGUGGUAAGGACUUUGUUCUUCCAUUGCAGGAGGCAUAGGUUUGAUCCCUGGUCAGGGAA
rfam:TPA: Bos taurus chromosome 13, whole genome shotgun sequence.